ensembl:lncRNA
CCCCUCCCUGCCUGCCCUGGCACACUCCAGGUACACUGUGUCCCGGGAUGUGGGGUGGGGGUGGGGGGUGGAAACCUUGCAGACACCCCAGGAGACUGGGGUGUAGGAAAGGUCCCCACCCCCCAGGAAGAGUCCUGGUUUGGGCAGACAUCUGAGCUCCCGCCCUGCGGCUGUCAUCCUCACAAUGGCCCCACCAGACCCGAGGGGACAGAGGCCCAGAGGAGGAAGGAGAAGCCUUGUGGCUGGGUGGCAGGAUUCACCAAAUUUCUACUUCCAUCUGCAACUAACAGUUACGACCCCCCACCAUGCCAAGACCUCCAGAGGCCUCCCAGAGUGGUGGGAGAAGGGGACGAUCAACUUGUCUGGCGGGCCACACCUGCCGGGCUGGGUGAGGUGAAUGCCUCUCCCGAGUGGGCAGAGCCCAUUCAGGUCCGGCCGGGGCGUGGGGGGCGGCGCGAAACGCUAGAAUGGAGGGGCGAGAAGGCAGAGGGCUGCGCGAACCGGCCACGUGGAGGUCCAGAGCGACAAGCAGGGGAGGGAGCCGCGAGUAGGCCGUAAGCUCGCUCCUCCCGCUCGAGGGAGCCUCCGAGAGAGUUGAGUCGUCGCUGACCGCAGGCUGCAAGAGCGGUUGAUCUGCCUGGAGACUCCAGUGAUUCCCAGGGGCUGGCAAACCAAGCCCAACUUUCGGCUAGCUUGGGAACCCCCUGGCUGGACGCCAGGAAAGGAGGUCCCUGAGCGCUUGGCCUAAAGGUUCCUGGACCAAGGAAGGGACAAAGGACUUAGAUACCGAGCACCUACCAUCUGUAAGGAUGAGUUCGCCCCUGCUAAGGAGAUCAUUAAAAAAGUUUCCAACGCAAUUCGGAAAGUCCUUUCUUCUCCCUUCUUCCAACCUCCACAGUCUGCUGUGCCAUUUCCCCCAUGCUGGGAGGACCCAUCUUCCAAGGUCUACCCACCUCUCAAGCUCCAGCUCAUAAAGCCUGUUUGGAACAGUGCCGGCCAAAUCUGAUUCCUCUCUCCUCUGAAAGCCCAGCACACUCAGUCUGUACCUUUCUCAGGGCACAGCAUGUGGCCUGUCUCAUAUUCUAGUGAUCUGUUUACUAAUCCUGUUCUUCUAACCAGAUUAGAAAGUCCUUGAGGCAGAAACAAAGUCUGCUUCUCUGAGCCUUCUCCCAUGGCUUGAGCUCAUCCCCCACAGGCCAAGCUUGGCACUGGAGUUGAUGUUCAAUAAAUGUUAGGUGUAUUGAAAUGAUUUCCUGCCCUUGGGCAGUUUGCAGGCCAGUUGAAGAGACAAACACAUGGCAUGUGAGGUUAAAUAAUAACCCAAGCCAGCAGGUGGUGAGUACCAAAUGUGUGAAAGCUAUAGGGAAUCAGUGGGAAGGAGACGGUGAUAAGGGAGAAAGAUCCCCGAAGGCUCUAGGCUUUGAGCUGUGUGUGUGGAGGAGGAGAGAGAAGGUGUGGAGGUGACUCAGUCUGGUUUACAUCACCGCAGACCCGCCUACACACUAGGCACUUCACCAUGCAUUAUCUCUAAUAUUUAAGAGAGCGGGCUGGGUUUGGGAAGAGUGGAGGGGACCCAAGCCAGACGUGCCCAGAGCCAACAAGAGCUCAGAGGCAGCCUUGGAUCUGGGCUUCCCACUCUCACUCCCCAGGCACUGCCUGUUCCCUGGCCUGCCGCUCCUACAUACUACACCCAAGAGAGCUGCCCAGCACUGCCCAGCUCUGGAUGCCCUCUGGUCCCUCCCUAGUGCACAACUGGCUGUGUGACCUUGGGCCAGGCACUUCCUUCCCUACACCUCUCCGUCGUCGUCGUCUGUGCCUCCAUUGCGGCAUUUCCAGGCUGUGACUCUGUGAGUCAGUGUCCCAGGGAUGCUUGCCACCUCCCCUGAUGUGACCUGGGCUGCUGUGGCUCUCCCCUCCCCUAGCCCCUACCCCCCUUGUUGCUUCC